GACGAACGCUGGCGGCGUGCUUAACACAUGCAAGUCGAACGGAAAGGCCCUGCUUUUGUGGGGUGCUCGAGUGGCGAACGGGUGAGUAACACGUGAGUAACCUGCCCUUGACUUUGGGAUAACUUCAGGAAACUGGGGCUAAUACCGGAUAGGAGCUCCUGCUGCAUGGUGGGGGUUGGAAAGUUUCGGCGGUUGGGGAUGGACUCGCGGCUUAUCAGCUUGUUGGUGGGGUAGUGGCUUACCAAGGCUUUGACGGGUAGCCGGCCUGAGAGGGUGACCGGCCACAUUGGGACUGAGUUACGGCCCAGACUCCUACGGGAGGCAGCAGUGGGGAAUAUUGCACAAUGGGCGGAAGCCUGAUGCAGCAACGCCGCGUGCGGGAUGACGGCCUUCGGGUUGUAAACCGCUUUCGCCUGUGACGAAGCGUGAGUGACGGUAAUGGGUAAAGAAGCACCGGCUAACUACGU
rnacentral:rRNA from 1 species